rnacentral:rRNA from 1 species
UACGAAGGGGGCUAGCGUUGCUCGGAAUCACUGGGCGUAAAGCGCACGUAGGCGGAUUGCUAAGUCAGGGGUGAAAUCCUGGAGCUCAACUCCAGAACUGCCCUCGAUACUGCGGGUCUCGAGUCCGGGAGAGGUGAGUGGAAUUCCUAGUGUAGAGGUGAAAUUCGUAGAUAUUAGGAAGAACACCAGUGGCGAAGGCGGCUCACUGGCCCGGUACUGACGCUGAGGCGCGAAAGCGUGGGGAGCAAACAGG